AGAACGAACGCUGGCGGCAUGCCUAAUACAUGCAAGUCGAACGAACACUUCGGUGUUAGUGGCGCACGGGUGCGUAACACGUGGGAAUCUGCCCUUGGGUUCGGAAUAACAGUUGGAAACGACUGCUAAUACCGGAUGAUAUCGAAAGAUCAAAGAUUUAUCGCCCAGGGAUGAGCCCGCGUAGGAUUAGCUAGUUGGUGAGGUAAGCUC
rnacentral:rRNA from 1 species